rnacentral:lncRNA from 10 species
GCUCCUCCACAAUUACUGCAGAGUCAGAAGUGGAAUUUCCGCCUGAUGUUUUAUGUCAAAAUCAGUAUGAAAGACUGCAGCAUGCUGAGUGAGCUUUCCGUUCUCGCUGAGAUGCAAUGCAGGGUCCACCCUCUGCAGGCCACAAUUUUGCCUGGAGGCAAAGCAUUCAGUCUUUCCAUUGGCCUGACAAUUUGAGCCAAGCUUUGAGGCCAACAGACAAAAUGCACUAGCAACUGGAGAGGGCCUGCCUGGUGGCCCUCCCUGUGAGAAGGUAUUCUUCCUGCUCCAUUGACAUCAGGCUUAUUAGCCAUGUUUCUGGAUUUGGUCCAUUUCAUCAUAAAGAGAACAUGGAGCAGGGCUGCAGCUGAUCUUCAAAGGGCAUGAACACAAGCCAGAGAGAAGCCGUUAUUGUUGUAAGCCCUGAAGAUUUGGGGGAUAUUAUUGCAACACAACUCAGCCCAAGCUGACUAAUACAACAAGUUUCUAUGUAUACAUGGAAAUGUAUGUAAUCUUAGCCUC